UUUCCGUAGGUGAACCUGCGGAAGGAUCAUUAAAGAGUAUAUGCCCUUCGGGGUAGACCUCCCACCCUUUGUUUACAUCCACUUUGUUGUUUUGGCAGGCCCGUCCUCGGACCAACGGCUUCGGCUGGACAGUGCUUGCGAGAGGACCCCAAACUCUUAUUAUUAAUUGCGUCUGAGUACUAUAUAAUAGUUAAUACUUUCAACAACGGAUCUCUUGGUUCUG
rnacentral:misc_RNA from 1 species